CUUGAGUUUCUUAACAACUCUUAAGAAGGAAUCGAAGCCUUAAAUUGACGUUUUUACGUCGAAUUGGAGCUCGCCGUUUUCUGCAGUUUCUCGCCGGUUUCUGGAAAAUUCCGGCCACCUUCAUACUGUUCAAGGUGAUUGACGGUCUCCCUUGGGUGAAAGAUUUCGGUGUGUAUUGUGUUGAAUUGAAGACGCAGCGGGAAUAUCGAGCGGGUAAUCCUACAGGACAGGAGAACCAGGACGGUGAUCGUGCGGUUAGAGCAAUUGUUAGAGUUUUACAGCAAUUGUACGUUGUGAGGUGUGUUAUGCUCAUUUGAGCUUUACAAUAUUGCUUGUGAGAGUGAAUUGUAAUAAUGAACUCGAAGUUUCGAGAUUUGGAUUUUGUAAUUGUAAUUAUUCAUGUUUCGGAUUUGAAUUUAUUAUUCAAAAUUCGGGGCGUGACAUCUCCUUU